rnacentral:rRNA from 1 species
AGUCGACGAAGAUACUUAAAAUGAGAGCUUCGGCAGGAUUUUUAUUUAUCUUAGUGGUGGACGGGUGAGUAACGUGUGGGCAACCUGCCCUAUACUGGGGAAUAAUCACUGGAAACGGUGACUAAUACCGCAUGUCAUUACGGAAGGGCAUCCUUCUGUAAGAAAAGGAGUAAUUCGGUAUAGGAUGGGCCCGCAUCUGAUUAGCUAGUUGGUGAGAUAACAGCCCACCAAGGCGACGAUCAGUAGCCGACCUGAGAGGGUGAUCGGCCACAUUGGGACUGAGACACGGCCCAAACUCCUACGGGAGGCAGCAGUGGGGAAUAUUGCACAAUGGAGGAAACUCUGAUGCAGCGAUGCCGCGUGAGGGAAGAAGGUUUUAGGAUUGUAAACCUCUGUCUUCAGGGACGAAAAAAGACGGUACCUGAGGAGGAAGCUCCGGCUAACUACGUGCCAGCAGCCGCGGUAAUACGUAGGGAGCGAGCGUUGUCCGGAAUUACUGGGUGUAAAGGGAGCGUAGGCGGGAUCGCAAGUCAGAUGUGAAAACUAUGGGCUUAACCCAUAAACUGCAUUUGAAACUGUGGUUCUUGAGUGAAGUAGAGGUAAGCGGAAUUCCUAGUGUAGCGGUGAAAUGCGUAGAUAUUAGGAGGAACAUCAGUGGCGAAGGCGGCUUACUGGGCUUUAACUGACGCUGAGGCUCGAAAGCGUGGGGAGCAAACAGGAUUAGAUACCCUGGUAGUCCACGCCGUANACGAUGA